rnacentral:rRNA from 1 species
UAGUAACGGCGAGUGAAGCGGGAAGAGCUCAAGCUUAAAAUCUCUGUGCAAGUUUUGCAUGGCGAAUUGUAGUCUAUGGAUGCGCUAUCAGUGCAGCCGCGCGGGCCAAGUUCCUUGGAAGAGGACAGCAUGGAGGGUGAUACUCCCGUUCCUGCCUGUGCGUGUUGUGCGUACGAUGCGUUUUCUUUGAGUCGCGUUGUUUGGGAAUGCAGCGCAAAGUAGGUGGUAAAUUCCAUCUAAAGCUAAAUAUUGGUGCGAGACCGAUAGCGAACAAGUACCGUGAGGGAAAGAUGAAAAGAACUUUGAAAAGAGAGUUAAAGAGUACCUGAAACUGCUGAAAGGGAACCGGGUCGUUGCCAGUGUCUAUAAUCUGCGGCAUAUUUCAUUGUCGGAUGCGGCCGUGCGGCGCGUUUGGUAGUGGGUUCGUCCUGCACCGCGUGUUGCUGUGGUUGCGUUUGGUGGUGCCCUGUGCUGUGGUGGGACGUCAGAGUCAGUUCGUGUGCUGCGGGAAAUGGCUGCUGGGGAGGUAGGUCGGGGGUUCGCCCUCGGCUGUUAUAUCCUGGCGGACUAGUCGUCGUGGUUGGGACUGAGGUGCCUACAACGUGCUUUUGAGUGCGGAGGUUUCUUCGUUUGCGCGUCGGUUGGAUAGCUUGCUAUGCAGUUGGCGUUGUGUGCGGAUGGAUGUCUUUGCUAACUUGUUGCCGUUCGGGACUUUGACGAAAUGGCGCGAUCCGACCCGUCUUGAAACACGGACCAAGGAGUCUAACAUGUGUGCAAGUGUUAGGGUGUGGAAACCCGAGCGCGAAAUGAAAGUAAAGGGCAGUGUAUGCUGCCUGAGGUAGGAAACCUUUGCUCGUCAGGGGUGGCACUAUCGACCGAUCAUGAACCUUCGUGGUGAAAGAUUUGAGUAUGAGCACAUAUGUUGGUACCCGAAAGAUGGUGAACUAUGCCUGAGUAGGGUGAAG